GUCUUGAACACACUCUAUGAUACUAGUUAACAUAUAAUACCUCAUAUAUGUAUCCAAUUAGUCUUAAACUACUAAUUGAAAAUUUUAAGACAUCCUAGAACAUGAUAAACACUUUAUAUAAGUCUUAUAAGCCUUCAGGAUUGCAUCUACGUUGUUGUAGGACAAGGCUAGUGGGUUUAGGGUUCCAAAGGACCCCAUUCUUGAGUUUACUCUCCAAUACCAUAACAACAAGGAGUUUACGGUCGUAAACCCUUGAUUUUAUGUCCGUAAGCUCCUAAGCCUUAGUUUAUUUGGUGUUUUGAAGUCUUAUAUGUCCCUUAGAAGUAUUGCCACUUGAUGGCAUAGUCCGUGGAAGAGAUUAGGGCACCUUUCAACUCCUUUGAGGAGUUCACGGCCCUGUGACCAAUUCCCUUAGAGAUUACGGCCGUAAUCUCUCACGGGUAUGGUGUGUUUGGUGAUUUCAAGUCCCUAAUUUAACUAGGAAUGAGUCUAGGCUAGUGUCCAAGUCUUAUGGAGAGUUUAAAGCACACUUUGGCGCUUUUGUUUGGAGUUCACGGUCCAAGAACUUCUUGGGCCGUGAACACCUUACUCUUGGUGUUCUUGGGGUGUUUUCUAGUCCUACAUACAUUAGGAUACGAGUCUAGGCCAAUUUCAUUGCAAAAGGAAGGGACUAGGGCACUCAUUUGUCCCUUAAAGAAGGGUUUACGGUCCAAGAUGUUCUUGGGCCGUAAACUCUUUGAGCUUGUGGUUUUCAUAUGAUUUCAAGGUUUUUAGACACAUAAUAAUCUCUAUAAUACACCUAUAUAGAAGUACUCGCGUUUUGGGACGAAAGUCCGAAGAUCCGUGAGAGAGAGAAUUUGGCGUUUCUCUAGUUGGAAAUGUAACAAAUGAAUAAACAUGGCUAAGAACCAUAUAUAUACCCCUGGGGUUUUUGGCAGAAAAUAUUUUAUUCAAGCAAUGAACUCCAAUAUCAUAGAGUUUUGGAAUAACAGAGUUGCACAAAACCCUAGUGCAUCCUCUCUCCUGAUAUCUCUUUAAGUGUAAAUCCUGAAAUACUCAAACUUAUACUAAAAGGUCUUAAAAUUUAUUGCAACUGUUCUGACUUCUAUUGACUUGAUAUUGUUUGUACAAAAUAGAAAUUUCGAGUUGUCACAUCAUCCCCUCCUUAGAAGGAAUUUUGUCUUGAAACUAGAAUUUAAGCAAUUAAGUAGUUACAAAUAACUAAGUAAAAACACGAGGAUAUUUCAGUUUCAUCUGAUCCUCACGCUCCCAAGUGAAUUCCGGUCCUUGCUUGGCGUUCCAGCAAACCUUAACUAUCGGGAUACGACUUUGUUUCGUUUGGUUGACCUCUCGGUCCAUGAUCUCUACUAGUUCCUCCACGAAGUUGAGGCUCUCGUUGAUCUCGAUCUCGUCGAGUCGAAUAACAAGAGUCUCGUCGGACAGACACUUUUUCAAGUUCGAUACGUGGAAGGUAGAGUGUACGCUACUGAGUUCGUGCGGUAAGUUAAGUUUGUAAGCUAUAGGGCCGAUUCUUGCGAGAAUCUCAAAGUGCCCAAUGUACCUUGGAUUUAGCAUUCCACGCUUUCUAAAGCGUAUCAAGCCCUUCCAGGGUGAGACCUUCAAUAGAACACGGUCGCCCACUUGGAAUUCCAACGAUUUCCUACGUUUAUCAGCGUAGCUUUUCUGUCGGUCUCUGGAGGCUUUCAAUCGUUCACAGAUUUGAACGAUCUUCUCCGUUGUUUCCCAUAUAAUCUCUGGGCCUGUGAGAGUGCUUUCAGGAAUUCAUCCUUUAGCUAACUGGGUAUCACCCACCUCAGCCCAGCAUAUAGUGGAUCUGCACUUUCGGCCAUAGAAGGCCUCGAAAGGAGCAGCCUUUAUGCUCGUGUGAUAACUGUUGUUGUAGGAAAAUUAGAAAAGGGGUAAAUGAGUAUCCCACGCUUUCCUAAAGUCUAUCACACAGGCUCGCAACAUAUCUUCCAAGGUUUGGAUAGUUCUCUCGCUUUGCCCGUCGGUCUGUCGAUGGUAGGCUGUACUCAUGUCCAGCCUAGUUCCUAUGGAACUUUGUAACGACUGCCAGAACCUUGAAGUGAAUCUACUAUCUCUAUCCGAGAUAAUGGAUAAGGGAACACUGUGCAGUCGUACAAUAUCCCUAAUGUAUGUUCUUGUAAGCUUCUCCAUCUUGUCUAUUUCUUUGAUCGACAGGAAGUGUGUAAACUUGGUCAGUCUAUCGAUGAUGACCCAUAUGGAAUCAAGUCCACCCGUCGUCUUGGGCAACUUGGUUAUGAAAUCCUUAGUUAUCCGCUCCCACUUCCAUUCCGGUAUCUCGGGCUAUUGUAAUAGACCGGAGGGUUUCUAGUAUUCGACCUUGACAUUUGUGCAAGUAAGGCAUUUAUCCACGAAGGUAGCAAUCUCUGCUUUCAUGUUAGGCCACCAAUAUAACUUUUUGAGGUCCAGAUACAUCUUAUCUGAUCCCGAGUGCAUGGAAUAACGAGUGUUGUGCGCUUCGUUAAUGACCAAGUCUCUGAAACCACCGAGUUUCGGGGUCCAAAUCCGGUCGAUGAAAUAAUAAGCUCCGCCACCCUUAACCUCCAUGUUCUUAUCCAUCCCUCUUAGGGAUUCACCCGCCACAUUUUCAGGCUCAAAGCAUCGAGCUGAGCUGCCUUAAUUUGUGUGGAUAAGUGUGAAUGGAUAGUAAUAGUCAAUGAUUUGACUCUACGACCAGAAUAUUCCUUCCGACUUUGGGCGUCAGCUACUACGUUGGCUUUACCCAAAUGAUAACGAAUUUCACAUUCGUAAUCAAUAAGUAGCUCGACCCACCUUCGUUGUCUCAUGUUGAGCUCCUUCUGGUCGAAGAUGUGUUGUAAGCUCUUGUAGUCUGUAAAGAUAGUGCUUUUCAUUCCGUACAAGUAAUGUCUCCACAUCUUCAGAGAAAACACAACUACUCCUAGUUCAAGAUUGUGGGUCGUGUAGUUGACCUCAUGUGUCUUUAGCUGUCUCGAGACAUAGGCGAUGACCUUACCUCGCUGCAUCAGAACACAUCCGAGCCCUUGAUUCGAUACAUCACAAUAGACGACGAAGUCUUCUAUUCCUUCGGGAAGGGAUAGUAUUGGCGCGGUGCACAAGGCUCGUUUGAGCAUUUGGAAUGCUCUUUCUUGUUUCUCUUCCCAGUCAAAGGCCACACCCUUCUGGGUCAGUGUUGUAAGAGGUUUCGCUAUGUGGGAGAAGUUCUGAAUGAACCUGCGAUAAUAGCCAGCGAGGCCUAGAAGUUGACGAAUUUCUGUAGGCGUCUUCGGUGCUGACCAGUUCUCAAUGGCCUUGAUUUUGGAAGGGUCUGCGUGUAUACCCUCUUUGCUAACCACGUGCCCUAAGAAUUCGACUCGUCGAAUCCAAAAUUCACAUUUCGAGAACUUCGCGUAGAGCUUCUCAAAACAUAAUGUUUCGAGAACUUGACGCAGAUGUUGGCUAUGCUCCUCCUUACAUCGAGAGUAGAUAAGUAUGUCAUCGAUGAAGACGAUGAUGAACUGAUCCAAGUAAGGACGACACACCCUAUUCAUUAAGUCCAUGAAUACUACGGGCGCGUUUGUCAAUCCGAACGGCAUCACUACGAAUUCGUAGUGCCCAUAACGAGUUCGGAAUGUUGUCUUUGGAACAUCCUCCCCUAGCGCUCGUAGUUGGUGAUAUCUAGAUCUCAAGUCGAUUUUUGAAAAGAAGUUCGCCCCUUGGAGUUGGUCAAAUAAAUCGUCAAUACGAGGUAACGGAUAACGAUUUCUGACCGUCAGCUUGUUGAGCUAACUAUAGUUGAUGCACAUACGAAACGAUCCGUCUUUCUUGUUGACGAAAAAGACUGGAGCUCCCCAGGGUGAGAAGCUUGGUCUUAUAAAGCCCUUUCUGAACAGUUCGUUAAGUUGACCGGACAGUUCUUGCAUCUCUGCAGGUGCUAGAUGAUAGGGGGAUUUGGCUACUGGGGUAGCCCCUGGAACUAAGUCGAUUCGGAACUCGACUUGACGUUGCGGAGGUAAUCCUGGGAGUUAUUUUGGAAACAUGUCAGGAAACUCGCGUACUACUGGAAUGUUCUGAAUGUCCUUCGCUUCAUGGCUCACAUCGACCACAUGAGCAAGGAAUGCAUGACAUUCCUUUCGCAAGAAUUUCUGAGCUUGGAUGCUCGAGAUGAUACGAAGGUUCGUGCCGGGUUUGUUGCCAUAAACUACUAGGUUUUUUCCAAAUACCAGAUUAAGGCGAAUAGCCUUUGCGUAACACAUGAUAUCGGCACGAUGAAGACUCAACCAAUCCAUGCUGAUAAUGACAUCGAAACUUUUAAUUAAGACCGGCAUCAGAUCGAUGGAAAAUGAAUGGUUAUCUAAUGUUAGGGUACACCCUAUGAAGAUACUGCUAGUGCUCUCGGUCUUUGCAUUAUCCAUUUCUACAGUGAACGGUUCAUUAAGUGCUCAUGAUUUUUGCUUAAGUAAAUGAGCAAAUUUUUGGUUCACGAAACUGUUGGAUUAAUGUCUAAGUCCAUAACUAUAUUUGGUAAGACUUGACCCGACCCGGCAUGGUUCAUUUGGGUUGCAUACCAUCAUGCACUUGAAUGAGAGAAAUAAGACACUUAUGGUUAUUAAUAUAUUAUAAGUUCUAGUAUAUUAAUAAUAAGAAUAAUAAGAUUAUUUAAUUAGUAUUGAUCAAGAAUUAAUCUAGGAUUAAUUAAGUGAUCAAAAGAAGACUAAUUAAAUAUAUGAGUUGAUUGUGUAAAUCAUCCAUACUUGUAUAGUGGGCUAAUGGAUAAUCAAGUUGGGCUAAAACCCAUAGGAUGGUCCAUGGAUGCUCCAUGGUGUAUUUGUACCCAUGGAUCCAAGGAAAUGGAAAGCCAUGACAAUUAAGAGUUUACCCUAAUUGUGUAACUAUAUAAGCAUCUUAUUAUUGAGGAAAAAUCGGCCACUAGUGUGUGUGAAGAAAGGGCUAGCCGAUUUUGGUGAGUGUAGAAUUCUCUCAAGUCAUUCUAAGUGUUUUGAUGAUUGUGAUUCCAUUUGAGGUGUCACACUUGGGGCACUAAGCACUCAAGCUUCAUGAAGACUUUCUACAUCAAGAGGUAUGUAUUCUAUCUUGUUACAUUAUUGUUUUGUAUGCUAGAUUAGGAUAAUACCUUGGAAGUUCUUAUUUGCAUGUAUAAUAGAGAAAACAUAGAUCCAAGGUAUUUAGGGUUGCAUGUACACUUAGGAAGUGUUAGAAUGCUCAAAACCCAACAGUGGUAUCAGAGCCACGGGUUGUUUUCUGUUAUAUUGAUGCAAAUAUUUUAUUUUCAAAGUUGAAAAAAAAAAAAAAAAAAAACAUGAAGUUUGUCAAAUUUUAAGAUAAUUACUUGUUCUUGUGAAAAACUAAUUAUUUGUAAAAUUUGAAUAAUUUGCUUUAUGAGUUGAAUUAGGUCAAAUUUAAUAAAAGAUAAAAUAAUAUGAUUAUUUUAUUAGUUUUAAAAGUUUGAUCUAAAGAGUUUUAUUUUUUGAAACCUCCAUAAGUUAUGGAUAUGAAAAGGUUUUAAAAAAAAAAUUAAUUCAAAGUUUUUUUGGAGUUACAAAAUUUGGUGUUAAUGUUUUAAAGGAUUCCAUAACUUAAGAAUAAGUUAUGGAUCACCAAAAGUUUUUUGUGUUACCUUGUUUUAUGAGUGAAUUUAGAUUAAUGAAUAAAAUUAUGUGAUAGUUGGUUUUAAUCCAAAUUAAUCUAAGAAUUGAUUCUAAAAUGUGUUUUUGUAACUUGUCCUCAAGUUAUAUGAAAAGUCACAUUUAAGAAUCAUAAAACUCAUAAAAAUUGGCAAAGGUUACAAAAAUGAAGAGUCUAGUUCUAAUUAAAUGGUUUUAUGACUCCAUAACUUGUCCUCAAGUUAUGGAGGACCAAGAGUCUCUUCAUUUAAUAAAAUAAAAUAAAAUAAAAAAAAGGGUAACCUUAAUUAAUUCCAUAAGUUAUAAAAUAAAGAAAAGUUAAUUCUUUUAUUAGUUUAAAGUCUUCCAUAACUUGUCCUCAAGUUAUGGAACUUGAAGAGUUUUUGGAUUAAAACUACUUUAAACACAUAAGUUAUGGAAUUAAUUAGUUUUGAAUAGUUUCAAAACUUGCCCUCAAGUUUUGGAAUUUGUAAAGUUUUCACUUAUGAAUACUUUAAUUCCAAGUUAGCCCUUAGAAUUUUAAAAGUUAAAAUUCAACCCUUAUACUUUAUAAUAUUAUAAGUUAAUAAUAUAUAUAUGUAUAAGAGUAAAGUCAGUCUUACCGCUAGUACGCCUCAUUCACGAAGCCGGUCUAUAAGGUGGGUAUAAGGUUGUUGCCUAUAAAAUGGCAACUUAAUGGGUGUCCACUCUCACCCACCGCUUGCUUGACUGGUGGAGGGUCGUUAGCCGAACGGGUUUGACAGGACUAGAAUUCUCCCUUCAUUAAAAGUAUUAAUGAUAAUACUAAGUAACUAAACUCUUAAUAAUACCCAAUCUUAGUUACUUAGGAAAAAUGUGAAUAAGGUGCUAAUCCAUGAAAUUACACUUUACACUUUGUCUAAGUCGUUAGUGGAGCGUGUGUGGUUAACCGGCACACUAACUUGGACUUAACAAGGUAGGUAAAGGGUGACUUAAUAUUUAUCAUAGUAUCGAUGGAGCGUGUGUGGUUAACCGGCACAUCGAUUGAGGGGUAAUUUAUUAAGGGUACCAAGUGAUUUGCAUGGUUACUUCACACCUUGUUUUGUGAUCCUCGGCAUCCCAGUCACAAAACCUGAAGGGCACACUCGAGAUUGAAACAUGCCUUUGAAAAGUUCAAUGAAUCUCAAAGAUCUAGGAGUUUCAAAACCAAUUAAAACCUAAUAAUACAUUUCGUUUAUCUUGGUGGAAAUUGGUGAAUCGUCAUUCACCUACCUUCAAAUAUUUUAUAGCUUGGAUUACGGCAUACCUCUUCUAAGUUAUAAAAUAGUUUGUUGGGUCCUAGCCUUAAUAUUUCAUAUUGGGUGUCAUAUUAAGGACUUUAAAUCAACUAUCUUGAAUAUCUCCCAAAAGAUGUCUGGUUUAGACACCUAUGAUCUUCCCAAAUCUCUUGAAACAAGGUUUCCUAAUGAAGAUGAUGUCCCAUGGAUAUCAUACUUCUUCACCUCUUCAAAUUAUUCUCCCUAACCCACAAGUUCUUGAAAAGUUUAAGGUCACUCAGGCCCUAUUGGCAAGGCAAGGUCUAGGUGUGGUCACAUCUUGGAGAUGUAGUCACAUAUUGACAAGCCGGGAGAGUUGGGUGUCAAAGUCUUGAGAAAGUUGGUGGUUCAACCACUUUCUAAGUCACAUAGUGAGUUCCUUUGGGACACCUAUGAAACAGACUAUGACAAGACCCUUAAUGAUCUUAUCUAUUUGCUAAGAUCAACUUCCUAAAACUUUAUGGACAUUGACAAUGAUGACAUUGGAUAUCCAGUAAAGCAUUCUCUUCCCAAUGGAAAGGGAUCGGCUAUAGUCAACUCGGUUGACCAAAUGGUAAAGAGAAAAGCUAAGUCUGUGAUAGUCCUGUGUACCAUUAUCAAAGGGUCCAUAUGUUUGUAUUGCCAAAGAAAGGGCAUUGGUUGCGAAGCUGCCAAAUUUACCUAAGGAUGUUAAAGUCAAUAAGUUUGACUCUACUUCAGGUAAAAUCCACUAUCUAACUCUGUUAAGUUUCUAUUCUGAGAUUCUUGAUACAUGAUGUGACCGGGUCGCAUGGUGAUGGUUUAAGAAUCAAAGGAAAGUGAAGAAACUUAAAGGAAGAAUAUGCUGAAUCUGAUCGCAUAGAUGGAUUUCUAUCGCAUAGUUUGAAAAAUCGGAUUCUUGAGCUACUUCUUAGGAGUUAUGAGAUAUUGCUUAGGAAUAGAUAACAACAAGUUUUCAUAUGGAUUGUAAGGAUAGUUUUUCCGCAAAGUUUUAAAAUAAAAGGAAAUUUUUGAUUUUAUUUAUUUUAAAAUAUCCUUACAAUGGCAUCUGUGGAAAUUUUUGUUGCUUAUAAGAUUCCAUUAGUAGCAAGAGUGGAAGUAUGAAAUUGAUUCUUUCAUUUGUGGUAAUGUCUAAAUUUACCAAAUAAGGAAAGAUUCUCAUCACCCAAGUUUCAAUUGGACCGGAACUUGGAAUCAUGCAAGUUGUAUAGCAUGAUGAAUGAGAACUUUCAAGUUUUGGAAAAUUAAGACUAAUUACUUGUUCACAUGGAUGUGUGAGUCAAGUAAAGGACUUAGGGAUCGAGUACACAUUCUUGUGCACUGAUUAAGUCCACCACUAAAGAUCGAUAAGAAGAAUCAAAUAAGGCAGAAGGAUAAAAGUUUCUCAAAUCUGAAAAGAUGGGAGAGUACUUUAGUAUCAGUUUUGUGAUCAUCUUAAUGAUUAAGAAACCAUAUCAAAAUUAGUUCUCUAAGGAAAUCUUAGUGCAUUCUUAUGACUAAGAAGAGGAACUUGAAUUGUUGAAAUGGUUAAAUCAAGAAGAUGAGUCAUACUUCGUUCCAAUACAAGUCUUAGAGUCAUACUCCAAGAUUGUCAUUUGAGUGACAUGUCUUAAAGAAGGUUUAAAACACUUGUCAAAUGUAAGAGUAAAAGUUUUCUACUCUUGUACAUUUGAAAUUGGUAAGUUGUGAUGUUUUGGAUAAAACAAAGACCAACUUAGGCCAAUUGGGUAAAGUGUUUUUCUUGAUUAGAAUCCGCACUAUCUCUUGGAUGUUUGACAAGGGAGUCUUAUAUGUCAAGAGGACAGUGGGAGUCUUAAAGGUCUUGAAAGUCUCAAGAAAUAAUCAAGAAUAAAACCUAAAGUUCUUCACUAGCACACGACUUGAGGUUCAUAACCUAUCGUGUUGACAUAUUCUGUGCCCAUUCCAGUUAAAGUUGGUUUUGCAUAUGAGUUCUUAGAGUUCUCAAUUUGUUGCACAACAACUUGGAAGCAAUGGCAGGCCCUUGAGCUGCCAGGUGGCAAGAAGUUAAGAUUGAGUUCAAUCCAUAUGGUUUUGGAUUUGUCAUUAUCUUUGUCUUGUGAUUAUGGUUUGACAAAUUCAUAUGGGUAGGAACUCAUACACCAUAUAAAUCUAAGUGUCAUAAGGUUUCUCUCCGAUUCAUGAAAAUGAUGGUGAGGAAACGCUUUCACUAAGUAGAUUUUACGAAGAUAUCAAUUGUGUUAUUUGCAUUUUCAAAAGUCGUUAGUGGAGCGCGUGUGGUUAACCGGCACACUAACAUGGACUUGUGAGAAAUGGCAAAUGCCUAAGCAAUUGAGACCAUGAUUACGGUAUCCCUUUUCAUGGUUCUUGAAAUUGCUUAGACACACAGGUGAGCUAUCUACGGAAAGGGUGUAUGAAUCUAAAUUUCAGACUGUCCAGCUGAUUUCUGAGUACAUGUCAAAGCUAGUGGGAGCAUAAGUGUUAUGCUAAUAAUCAUCAUGUUAGUGGGAGCAUGAUAAUUAUGAUAAGUAUUGCAAGUUAGCAAUGUUAAUUAUAGAAAACAAAAGUUUCAAUUGGGAAAAAGUUGUUUUGCUAUAAUUAAGGGAGAGGAAAUUAUGCUUCAUCUCAAAUCUAUAAGCUUAGAUCGUGAGGUUUUAAUCAUUUAGUCAAGGAUAUAUAUGAAUUUCAUGUUGGAAUGGCUCAACAUAAGGAAAUUCUGUAUAUGGGUCCAUUAUUUGCGUUCUAAAAUUCGAUUAUGAUUACGGCAUCCCUUUUCAUAAUCUGAAUUAUGAGAACUUGGCAAAUUGAAAUGGAAAUAUUAUAGCAAAAGACUGGUUUAGUCUUUAUGUAAGACAUCAUGAAUCGUGUCCCAUAUGCUUCGGAUAUAGGAUCGAUUACAUGUGCUAUAUUCAUCCGUUCUAAAAUUUUCCAAAUGCCUGGGGCAUUAAGAAGGGAAAAGGUUUAGAACUGGAUAUGACUAAAAGGAUUAAACAAUUGUCGAGGACAAUCUAAGGUUUACCAAAGAUUGGUUACUCAAGGACAAUUGGAAGUAUAGUGAUAAUUCUGGAAGGACCAUAUUGACAUAAUCUGUAAGGAGGCAACUCUUGUUCAGAAGUGAUAGUCAAAAUGGAAUCUGGAAAUGUUUCAAAGUUAGAAUUUUCAAUCUGUGUAAGAUUAAGGAAACUUAAUGCAAGAAGGAUAUUUCCAAGGAGUUGAUCUCCUUUGGAAUACUCUGUAAUGAUUGUUGCCAAGUCUUUGUGACUUUGUGCAUAAUCAUUACAAGAGGAUCAAUGCAUAUAAGUUUAGAAUCUAACAGAUUUCAGUAAAUGGCAUGAAUUUGGAAUUCUUGCAUUUGCAGUAAGGAUUUGGGAGUGUGAAAAGAGAAUCAUUGAAGUUAUGUUCAAUUGAUCUAGUUCACAAAGUAAAGAUCAUAGACAAACAUAGUAUGCAUACUUGGUGUGUGGCAUGACUAGUGUUUAAGAAAACAUAGUGUACAUGCUUGGAGCAUGGGACAACUAUUGUUUUAAAUUCAAGAAUAAAGUUGAUAGCUGAAACAGUAUACAAUGAAUAAUGUGUAAUCAUAUGGUGAUAAAUAAAAGGUGUUUUAUUUAUGUUCAAAGGGUUGAUACCAUAUUGGAUUCAAUUAUUAUUGUGUUUCAUUUUGCAUGUUUUGACUUCCCGAAUAAACUGGGUUAUUCUUCCGGAAUGACUAAGUUAUUCAAACCAUCCACAGUCGGUCAUAUGUUGGAAGUAGAUAUGAAUUAAGACUGUCAUGGGUUGGCUUGUAGAGGUCUAAGGUGUUGGACAAAGGGCUACAACACUCAUGAGUGCUCAUAAGUUCUGAGUAUUGGAUUCAACCCGCGCUCAUUGGAAUCACUUCAUGGAUUUUAUCACGAGUGAUCAUGAGACGAUAAUAUCUUAUAUUCUUCAAACCUAGAGAUAUGAGUUGUUACUAUGAGUUGAUAGUACAUUGAUUGCACGAAAACGCAUUUGGUAACUCGGUGCUAUAAAACGUGCCUUUGUGUAUGAUUCAACAAGUAGUAGAACAAGCCAUAUGAGUCGAAGUUUAUCCAUUCCUUUUACCUUCGGGAUAAAAGCGAUAUCUGUGGGCCCCUCGAUGAUUUGAUGAUGACAAAUGGAAGUGCUCGGCCGGGCCAGGACUGAUUUGAUUUGUUCAAUUAGUCAGUCGUCAUAAAUCGGAAAUCGGGAAACAACAAAUGGACAGAGAGAAUGAUUAUAAUCCAUGUCUCAGUCCAUAUGAUAUCUAGAAUGGAGGAAUAUAUGAUCCCUUAUCUAAUGGACAAGUCAUUGACAAAGGUCAGAGUUCAUCUACAAGGUCAGAGUUCGACAGAAGCUUUUGAGAGCUACGAUUGCCAGUUGGUUCCUGAAGUCAUACGCAAUAAUAGUUUUAGACUUAUCCAAGUGGGAGACUGUUGGAUUAAUGUCUAAGUCCAUAACUAUAAUUGGUAAGACUUGACCCGACCCGGCAUGGUCCAUUUGGGUUGCAUACCAUCAUGCACUUGGAUAGACUAUAAUGAGAGAAAUAAGACACUUAUGGUUAUUAAUAUAUUAUAAGUUCUAGUAUAUUAAUAAUAAGAAUAAUAAGAUUAUUUAAUUAGUAUUGAUCAAGAAUUAAUCUAGGAUUAAUUAAGUGAUCAAAAGAAGACUAAUUAAAUAUAUGGGUUGAUUGUGUAAAUCAUCCAUACUUGUAUAGUGGGCUAAUGCUCCAUGGAUAAUCAAGUUGGGCUAAAACCCAUAGGAUGGUCCAUGGAUGCUCCAUGGUGUAUUUGUACCCAUGGAUCCAAGGAAAUGGAAAGCCAUGACAAUUAAGAGUUUACCCUAAUUGUGUAACUAUAUAAGCAUCUUAUUAUUGAGGAAAAAUCGGCCACUAGUGAUAGUGAAGAAAGGGCUAGCCGAUUUUGAAGAGUGUAGAAUUCUCUCAAGUCAUUCCAAGUGUUUUGAUGAUUGUGAUUCCAUUUGAGGUGUCACACUUGGGGCACUAAGCACUCAAGCUUCAUGAAGACUUUCUACAUCAAGAGGUAUGUAUUCUAUCUUGUUACAUUAUUGUUUUGUAUGCUAGAUUAGGAUAAUACCUUGGAUGUUCUUAUUUGCAUGUAUAAUAGAGAAAACAUAGAUCCAAGGUAUUUAGGGUUGCAUGUACACUUAGGAAGUGUUAGAAUGCUCAAAACCCAACAGUGGUAUCAGAGCCACGGGUUGUUUUCUGUUAUAUUGANCCACUAUCAAAUAGAAUGCAUGCAGAAGAGUUAUCGAGGAGGAACAUACCAGUGACCACUGUGGGGUCGAAAACUGCUUCCUUAUGGCCUAUGGCCAGAACUCUUGCCGCUCCACCGGCAAACCCUGCCUUCGGGCAGUUUCUCUUGAAGUGGCCUACCUCGCCACAUUCGUAGCAUGUUUGUCCCACUCCAGCAUCGGGGGCUUGGUUGAUUGGCUUCGCCAGAGCUUUACAGAAACGGGUUGUGUGCCCCUUACCGUUACAGUUCAGACACUGCAUCUCCCAGCAUGCGCCGACGUGAUGGAAGUUGCACUUUUUGCACUUAGGCAAACUUCCAGCAUACUGCUUCACCGGAGCAGUAGUGGCAGAUGCUAUCGCAGCAUGUACUGCCACGACCUGCUGCUUUUUGGCACCCUUAGCCUUCUUCUUGUCAUCCCAAAACUUUCGCUUGGAGUCAGCGGUUUUUGUAGGUUCUGAGAUGGCCAGGGUAGUUGUUGUGGUCGGGGUACGAACCCUGUGAUCUAUGAGCCGCUGUGCCAAUCGCUUGGCACUAUCAAAUGUAGUGGUGUGUGAUGCUAAAACAUUUCCCUGGUAUGGGGGUACCAGUCCCCAUAGGUAUCUCUCGAUCUUCUUUCCCUCUGAAGGAAUCAUGUUGGACAGAGGGCCACCAGUUCACAAAACCUGGCGGUGUAGGCGACUACGUUGGAGCCCUUCAUGGUUAGGCUACAUAGCUCUUCCUCCAACUUUUGGAUCUCGCCCUUUGGGUAGUACUCCUCAAUCAUGAGGUCUUUCAAAUUUUCCCAGUGUCACACCCCAAAACUACGAACGGCGGAAACGUUCAGGCAUGGAGGACGUCAUAUAUAGUAUCACAACAGUGUAAUAUAAUAAACAAGCAACAACAUCAUCCAUUUCAUUAUAAGUAAAGUUUUAAUACAUGUGUUAUCUUUCAUUGUAAUAAGACACCAAAAAUAUACAAUCAAAAUAAAAGACGAGACUUGUCUGCUCCGUUUUCUCAAAACCUGGCCAUCGUACCUGUCUACUGUUGACCUGAGAAUACAAGUUAUUUUGAAAGAGAGUAUCAUCUUUAAAGCUGGUGAAUUCAUAAGUAAUUAAGUGUCAUCUUUAAAAUCUGUUAUGAAGGCCAUGUAAACCUUUAAAUGAAAAUGUUGAUGUAAGUAUGAAAACCCUAGAAAAUCCCUUACUUUCUAUCAGUUUAACAUGUAGUCUUCUACCAAGACCUGAAUGUUUUGUAAGUAAAUGAUAGUUUUUCCUUUAAUUGUUUAGUACUAAAGUACUUAGUCUAACUCAUCGUUUCUGUGAAAGUAUCACAAAAUAAAGUAAACAGGAAAAUGUACUACUGUAAGUGUUGUCACUGGGUACUAGGACUAACACAACAUAAAAUUAAGCGAAAUAUGUAACCUAAUGAACACCCAAAGAUUGUCCAGAAAAAGUAAUAAUGUAAGUGUCAUUGUUGGGUACUAGGAGUAACACAACAUCACAAUAAGCGAAAAGUAUAACCAUAUGAACAAUCGAAGAUUGUCCACUUGUCCUCUGUAGCAGCAGUAGGUGGGUAGAGGGGUUAGCCCCGGUUAUCGAUCUACCUAGUAUAAGUAGUAACCUUAGACCUCCGUAGAUGGUCAUCGACCACUGGUGCUAAUCAGUGGGAUUCGGAAUGGUAAGUCCCGCCGAGAUAUCCCAUUGAACCGGGAUAGGAAAGAUAAUUUACACAGAAAGUACUAAUAAAUCAUCCUCGUAGUUCUAAGUACAAGUAUCCAGGUAAGUGAAUACAGGAUAAUGCACCUAUGUAAAAGUGUUCCUGUAUGGUAUUCAUGUAAGUGUGUUCAUGUAACAGGUAAGUAUAUGUAAACAUAUUCAUGUAUCAGGUAAGCAUCUGUAUGUACUCAUGUAUCAGGUAAUGUACUAGUAUAGACUCAUGAAUGAACUGACUCUUGUGUGAUUCCUUGUAAUAGGAAUAAUGUUUGAUAUCUUCAAAUUAUCCCUAUGAUAAUUUACUGAAUGGUAAUUAGUUGUUCAAGUAGGUUUAUACACUCUUACUACUCAAGGGUGUGAGAAACUAAAUGAAAGAUGCAAACUAUAACAUCAAUACAUAUAUAAGAAAAUAAGUGUAUAUGCAUAGUUUAGUUCAAGAAUGUAAAAUGGUUUUGUGAGACAUCUUAUGGGUUUUGAACAAUAAUUAACAAUGACUUGAUGUCAUUUUAAUAAGCAUUUCAAAAGUAAAACAUUUGAUAACAAAGUAUUUUUAAGAUUUAAAACCAUUUCAUGCAUCACAUUUUGUAGUAUGUGAAAUCUGUUAAAUGACAAACACAGUUAUAAAAUACAUAUCAAUGAUUUAAUAACAUGUUUGUUUCUACUUGUAUUCCCCCCCUUUAAAGCAUUUAAAAUCAUUUAAAACAUUGAUUAGGGGUAUGAACUCACCUGUAGUUGGUGAUUGGGAUGAACUGAACGGUAUAGGAUUGCUAGGUGUCAAGCGAGGACUUGUACACACACUACGAUCCUAAUGAACAUAUAAUCACACAUAUAUGCACUCAAUUAGUCUCAAAUUACUAAUUGAUAAUGUUAAGACAUCCUAGACAUAAUAAACACUUUAUAUAAGUGUUUUAAGCCCUAAGGAUUGCAUCUAAGCUAUUGUGGGACAAGGCACUUGUGUUUAGGGUUCCAAAGGACCCCAUAUAUGAGUUUACUCCCCAUAUACCAUCACACAUGGAGUUUACGGUUGUAAACUCUUGAGUUUACGGCCGUAAACUCCCAACCAUGGGUGUAUUGUGUGUUUUGAAGUUCCAAAUGAUUCCUAGAAUUAUUCCAACUUGGUGGUUAAAUUCUUGGAAGGGUUUAAGGCCUAGAAACACUCCUUAGAGGAGUUUACGGCCCCAAGGCCAUUUCCUUUGGAGUUUACGGCCGUAAACUCCCUUGGAAUGGUGUUUUUGUUGUUUUCAAGUCUCUUGCAUAUGAAGGAUAGGUUCUAGACUUUUACCUAAAGCAUAUGAAGGCAUUAGGCACACUUUGGUGCCCCUUUAAUGAGUUUACGGCCCAUGAACCAUGUCAUGGCCGUAAACUCACUUUGCAAGGUGAUUCUUAUGUGUUUAAGGCCCUUGAUUUGUUGGGAACAAGUCUUGGUAAAAGUCCAAGGCUUUAGGUGCCUUAAAAGCACCAUUUGGAGCUUGAAUUUGGAGUUUACGGCUUAAGAAACUCUUGGGCCGUGAACUCCCAAACUUGGGUGGUUCUUGCUUGACUUCAUGUCCCUAACACACUCCUAUACAAGUCCAAGGUAGUUGUAUAUCAUGGGGGACAGUCUAGGCUUCGUUUCGGGAGUUUACCGCCCAAGAACACCUUGGGGAGUAAACUCCUAAAUCUAGUGAUUUAGCCUUCUAAAUCAUGUUAUAACUACAUAUAAAGCUUUCUAACACUACUAGAAAGAGUUACUCACGUUUUGGUAUAAAAACCCAAAGAUCCGUAAGAGAGAAAAUGGCUUUUCUCUAGUUGGAAAUGCGAAUAAUGAACGAAUUUGGUUCAUAAUUCUAUUUAUAGUCCUGAGAUAUUUUUGGCAGAAAAUAUUUUUAUUCCCAAAAUGAUCUCUGAUAUAAUAGAGUGUUGGAAUAACAGUGUUGCACAAAACCCUAGUGCACCCACUCUCCUGAUAUUUCCUGAAGUGUAAUCCCUGAAUUACUCAAACUUAUACUAAAAGUCUGAAAAUUAACUGUGACUGCUAUAACUUCUAUUGAAGUGAUAUAGUUUGUACAGAAUAGAAAUUUCGGGUUGUCACAUCAUCCCCCCGUUAGAAGGAAUUUCGUCCCAAAAUUAAAAUUUAAGCAAUUAGGAAGUUACAAAUAACUAAGCGAAAAGGUGAGGGUAUUUCAGUUUCGUCUGAUCUUCACGUUCCUAAGUGAAUUCUGGUCCACGCUUUGCGUUCCAGCGCACGUUCACUAUCAGGAUACGGCUCUGCUUUGUUUGCUUGACCUCGCGGUCCAUGAUCUCUACUGGUUCCUCCACGAAGUUGAGGCUCUCGUUGAUCUCGAUCUCGUCGAGUCGAAUAACAUGAGUCUCGUCGGACAGACACUUUUUCAAGUUCGAGACGUGGAAGGUAGGAUGUACGUUACUGAGUUCGUGCGGUAGAUUGAGUUUGUAAGCUACAUGGCCGAUUCUCGCGAGAAUCUCGAAAUGGCCUAUGUAUCUUGGGUUGAGCUUCCCACGCUUCCCAAAGCGUAUCAAGCCCUUCAAUAGGACUCGGUCGCCCACCUGGAACUCCAAUGCUUUCCUAUGCUUGUCAGCGUAGCUUUUUUGUCGGUCUCUAGAGGCUUUCAAUCGUUCACGAAUUUGAACGAUCUUCUCUGUUGUUUCCCGAAUGAUCUCCAGACCCGUGAGAGUGCUUUCGGGAACUCAUCCCUUAGCUAACUGGGUAUCACCCACUUCAGCCCAGCACAAAGGGGAUCUGCACUUUUGGCCAUAGAGGGCCUCGAAUGGAGCUGCCUUUAUGCUCGUAUGAUAACUGUUGUUGUAGGAAAAUUCAACAAGGGGUAAAUGCGUAUCCCAAGCUUUCCCAAAGUCAAUCACGCAAGCACGCAACAUGUCUUCCAAGGUUUGGAUAGUGUUCUCACUUUGUCUGUCGGUCUGUGGAUGGUAGGCUGUACUCAUGUCCAGCUUAGUUCCUAGGGAACUUUGUGAUGACUGCCAGAACCUUGAAGUGAAUCUACUAUCUCGGUCAGAGAUGAUUGAUAAAGGAACACUGUGCAGCCUUACAAUCUCCCUAAUGUAAGUUCUGGUAAGUUUCUCCAUCUUGUCUGUUUCUUUGAUCAGUAGGAAGUGUGCAGACUUGGUCAGUCUAUCGACGAUGACCCAUAUGCAAUCAAGUCCACCCGUCGUCUUGGGCAACUUGGUUAUGAAGUCCAUAGUGAUCGCUCCCACUUCCAUUCUGGUAUCUCCGGUUGCAGCAGGAGGCCGGAGGGUUUCUAGUAUUCGCCCUUGACCUUUGCGCAAGUAAGGCAUUUACUCACGAAGGUAGCAAUAUCUGCUUUCAUGUUAGGCCACCAGUAUAGCUUUUUAAGAUCCAGAUACAUCUUAUCUGAACCCGGGUGGACGGAAUAACGAGUGUUGUGAGCUUCCGUCAUGACCAAGUCUCUGAAGCCACCGUGUUUCGGUGUCCAGAUCCGAUCCAUGAGGUAUAAGGCUCCGCCACCCUUGACUUCCAAGUUCUUAUCCAUCCCUCUAAGGGAUUCACCAGCCACGUUUUCAGGUUUCAAAGCGUCGAGCUGAGCCUCCUUUAUUUGUGUGGACAAGUGUGAAUGGAUGGUUAGAGUCAAAGAUUUGACUCUACGACCAGUAUAUUCUUUCCGACUUAGGGCGUCGGCUACUACAUUGGCUUUACCCGGAUGAUAACGAAUUUCGCAUUCGUAAUCACUAAGUAGCUCGACCCACCGUCGUUGUCUCAUGUUGAGCUCUUUCUGGUCGAAAAUGUGUUGUAGACUCUUAUGGUCUGUAAAGAUCGUGCUUUUUGUACCGUAUAGGUAAUGUCGCCAGAUCUUCAGAGCAAACACAACUGCUCCUAGUUCAAGAUCGUGGGUUGUGUAGUUAACCUCAUGUGUCUUCAGCUGUCUCGAGGCAUAGGCUAUGACUUUACCUCGCUGCAUCAGAACACAUCCGAGUCCUUGAUUGGAUGCAUCGCAAUAGACAAUGAAGUCUUCUAUUCCUUCGGGAAGGGAUAGUAUCGGGGCGGUGCACAAGGCUCGUUUGAGCGUUUGGAACGCUCUUUCCUGUUUCUCUUCCCAGUCGAAGGCCACGCCUUUCUGGGUCAGGGUUGUAAGAGGUUUCGCUAUGCUGGAGAAGUUCUGAAUGAACCUGCGAUAGUAGCCAGCUAGACCUAGAAAUUGACGAAUUUCAGUAGGUGUCUUUGGUGCUGACCAGUUCUCGAUGGCCUUAAUUUUGGAAGGGUCCACGUGUAUACCUUCUUCGCUAACCACAUGGCCCAAAAAUUCGACUCGCCGAAUCCAAAAUUCGCACUUGGAGAACUUCGCGUAGAGCUUCUCCGAUCGCAAUGUUUCUAAGAUUUUACGGAGAUGUUGACUAUGCUCCUCCUUACUUCGAGAGUAGAUGAGUAUGUCAUCAAUGAAGACGAUGACGAACUGAUCCAAGUAAGGAUGACACACCCUAUUCAUCAGAUCCAUGAAUACUGCGGGCGCGUUAGUUAAUCCGAAUGGCAUCACUACAAACUCGUAGUGCCCAUAACGAGUUCGGAAGGCUGUCUUGGGAACAUCCUCCUCUAACACUCGUAGUUGGUGAUAUCCGGAUCGCAGAUCUAUCUUCGAGAAGUAGUUGGCUCCUUGAAGUUGAUCAAAUAAAUCGUCAAUGCGAGGCAAGGGAUAACGAUUUUUAAUGGUAAGUUUGUUGAGUUCUCUAUAGUCGAUGCACAUGCGAAACGAUCCAUCCUUCUUCUUGACGAACAAGAUCGGUGCUCCCCAUGGUGAGAAGCUUGGUCGAAUGAAUCCCUUCUUGAGAAGUUCGUUAAGUUGACUGGAAAGUUCCUGCAUUUCGGCCGGUGCCAGACGAUAAGGAGAUUUGGCUACGGGGGUAGCCCCUGGCACUAAGUCGAUUCUGAACUCGACUUGGUGUUGCGGUGGUAAACCGGGAAGUUCUUCUGGGAAUAUAUCAGGGAAGUCGCACACUUCGUGGAUGUUCUGAAUGUUUUUCGUUUCUUGACUUGUAUCAACGACGUGUGUGAGGAAUGCAUGGUACUCCUUUCGCAAACACUUCUGAGCUUGAAUGCACGAAAUGACGCGAAGGCUCGUACUAGGUUUGUCACCGUAGAUAAUUAAGGUUUCGUUGUUAGGAAGGUUAAGACGAACUGCUUUUUCAAAGCACAUGAUUUCGGCGCGAAGAAGACUCAACCAAUCCAUACCGAUGAUAACGUCGAAACAUUUAAUAGGAACUGGCAUCAGAUCUAUCUUGGAAGUAUGGCCAUCUAAAGUUAAGGUACAACCUACAUAUAUGCAGUUUGUACUCUCUGUUUUCCUGUUAGCCAUUUCUACCGUGAAUGAACUAUCUAAUGCACAUGGUUUUUGUUUAAGCAGGUGUGCAAAUUUGUGACUUACAAAACUUCUCUCUGCUCCACUGUCGAAAAGUAUGCAAGCAUAUGAGUUAUCGAGGAAAAACGUACCAGUAACUAUUGUAGGAUCAGCUAUUGCUUUCUCGUGGCCUAGGGCCAUAACUCUUCCUACUCCCCCAGCCAUCCCCGCUUUAGGGCAGUUCCUCUUGUAGUGGCCCACCUCGCCACAACCGUAGCAAGUUUAGCCCAUACAGGCGUUAGAAACUUGAGCGGCUUGAGCUGUUGGAGCCUGGCAGAAAUGGGUUGUGUGCCCCUUCCUGUUGCAGUUGGUGCAUUGCAUCUCUCUGCAAGGUCCGCGGCGGUGGAAGCUGCAUUUGUUGCACUUCGGGAGAGACCCAGCAUAAGUUUCUGCUGGUAAGGGGUUCGCAGGGACAACGGGAGUCACUGUGGCAUCAUUGAUUGCCAUAAGCUGUUGUCUCUUGGAGGAUCCUUGCGAAGCCCCCCUUUUCCUCUUAGACCACCCUUUCUUGUUGUUUUCAGGGUUGGACUUUUGGGGUACGGGUGUAGGGAUUGUUGGGUUCUGAGGUUUCCGGUGAUCGAUGAGAGAUUGUGCCAGUUCCUUGGCGCUAUCAAAGGUAAUAAGCCUGGAAGCUAUCACACUUGACUGGAUCUGGGGCGAUAGUCCCCAGAUAUAUCUCUCUAUCUUUUUUCUCUGGAGAGAAACCAUGUCAGGGCAUAAGUUUGCCAGAUCACAUAACCUAUUUGUGUAGGUCGUGAUGUCGGAUCCAAACAUUUGAAGACCCCAGAAUUCCUGCUCGAGUUUCUGUACUUCACCUCAAGGACAAUAUUCUUUCAUUAGCAUGUCUUUCAACUUUUCCCAACUGAUGGAAUACGCCACCACCAAAGUUAGAUAGUUAACAUGGAUGUUCCACCAUGUUAAUGCUCUGUCAGAGAAGGUACAAGCUGCAAACUUGACCUUGUUUCCUUCUUGGCAUCCGCAGAUCUCGAAGACAUAUUCCAUCUUCUCAAUCCACUGCCUCAACACCAUAACCCCACCAGUACCAUUAAAGUUGCGGGGUUUCGCAUUUGUGAAGUCCUUGUAGGUGCAUUCCUGAGAGUGUCCAUGGCUUUCGCCGUGGUUGGAGGGAGGUACACCUGAUCCCGAUCCACUAGGGAUAGGGGCAUUGAUUGCUGACACAGCAGCUACAACCGCCACUGUGAAGGCUGCCCGGAACAUGUUGGCAUCGAAAGGAUUAUAUGGUUGAAGAGGUUCAGGUGGGGGUGGAGGUGCGUUGUUGCUUGGGUUAGGUCUUGUACUUCUGUGUGGCGGCAUCUUUAACUAUAUGAUUAAAAGAUGAUGACAUGGAUAAGAAUAAAUGAACAAUGAAUGUGUUUCAUGGACUAACUCCCCAUAGCCCAACAACAGAAUGGAUAAUAUGACUAAAUGAAGAAGAUAGCAUUUGGAUAAUAAUUUCCAUAAGAUUAGAUAUCUGUCAAUAAUACUGGAAUUACAGAUGUAACAAGUUCGGGAAAAAUGGCCUAGAAGUAGGCCUUACAUCAACCAAGAUGGAAAAUUUUGACAGAAUUAAGACUAGAUCAAGACCUAACAGGUCUAAGAUUUAUAAAGACAGGAAAUUAGACCAAAGUUUUACAUAAACUAGGUUAUAUCCAAAAGAUGAGUUGACGAGAUUCUAUCGGCGACGAGAGUUGCUAGCAUGAGUCCUCGAUCCCGACAGUAGACGCUCAAUGUCUCUUAUAAUCCUGUCCGACCUUGCUUGCUAAGCUCGAAGUUCUCUAACUUCAGCUCGGGUUUCAGCAAGUUCCCUCUGNGUUUCGGCAAGUUCCUUCUGCAGAUUUGCAUUGCGGACCAGAGUCCUUUCAUGAGCAGACUCUAGUUGGUGAAUGUCGCCUGAGCCAUUAUCGUGUUCCGAGAAAUCCUACGCACCAUGACCGGUAGGAAUCUAUCAGCAGAACCUCCUUCGGUGAGGUUGUAGAAACUUUGGUCUCCAUUGUAGGGAAUGGGCUGACCUUGUUCCUGGCUCCAUGUAUUCAAGUUCAUGGCCCACAGGGGUGUGGGUCCUUGAAACACAUGGUGGGGGUUCAGGUUUGGGUUUUGAGCACCUGGGGGUAGGUUGUUGACUUCAGGCUCUGAGUCAGAACUAUCGGAAAAACCCUCAGCAUAGUGAUCAUCCAAAGGGAUUGGGUGAUCAUCUUCUGGUUCUGCCUCUAGCCAACCAGCAUUGCCUUGGUUUGGGAAGUACGGAUCGCCAUGGUGAAAUCCAGCCAUUUUAAUCUACGCGAGAAAAGGGAUAUAAGAAAUAGCUAAAAUAGACGAACUAACUAAGAUAAUUACAGUAAGACCAAAUACCCCUAUGGUAUUUCUUUAUGGUUGUGUUGGUAAGUUUUUAGACUUGUUGCCAUAUCACAACCAUUCUUGGGCAUAUGCUAAUCACUCCUCGGACCAGCAUAGUUGAUCAGGCUAUGCCAUUCCCAAGACUGACCAUAUAUCCCCAGGCUUACUUGUGAUAUUCAACAAUCGUAAUACUUUUGUUCUUGUCAUUGUGACACUGAUUUUAGUAUGAAUGCAGGCACGUAUACUUUGUUAAAUAUUUUAUUAUUUAAAAGUAUAACUCUUAGACAGAGUGUUUUAAUCCCGAUGUAUUUAUAGUUAGUAUAUCUUUUAUGGGUUGAUAUACUUUAUUCACUAUAAACAAUGCUCUGAUACCAAUCUGUCACACCCCAAAACCACGAACGGCGGAAACGUUCAGGGGUGGAGGACGUCAUGUACAGUAUCACAACAGUGUAAUAUAAUAAACAAGCAACAACAUCAUCCAUUGCAUUAUAAGUAAAGUUUUAAUACAUGUGUGUUCUUUCAUUGUAGUAAGACACCAAAAAUAUACAAUCAAAAUAAAAGACGAGACUUGUCUGCUCCGUCUUCUCAAAACCUGGCCAUCGUACCUGUCUACUGUUGACCUGAGAAUACAAGUUAUUUUGAAAGCGAGUAUCAGCUUUAAAGCUGGUGAAUUCAUAAGUAUAUAAGUGUCAUUGCCUUGUUUGUGAAAAUCUGUUAUGAAGGCCAUGUAAAACGUUAAAUGAAAAUGUUGAUGUACGUAUGAAAAACCCUAGAAAAUCCCUUAUUUUCUAUCAGUUUGAGAUGUAGUCUUCUACCAAGACCCGAAUGUUUUGUUAGUAAAAUGAUAGUUUUUCCUUUGUAUUGACUAGUACUAAAAGUGCUUAGUCUAACUCAUCGUUUAUGUGAAUGUAUCACAAAAUAAAGUAAACAGGAAAAUGUACUACUGUAAGUGUUGUCACUGGGUACUAGGACUAACACAACAUCGCAUUAAGCGAAAUAUGUAACCUAAUGAACAUCCGAAGAUUGUCCAGAAAAAGUAAUAAUGUAAGUGUCAUCGCUGGGUACUAGGAGUAACACAACAUCGCAAUAAGCGAAAAGUAUAACCUUAUGAACAAUCGAAGAUUGUCCACUUGUCCUCUGUAGCAGCAGCAGGUGGGUGGAGGGGUUAGCCCCGGUUAUCGAUCUUCCUAGUAUAAGUAGUAACCUUAGACCUCCGUAGAUGGUCAUCGACCACUGGUGCUAAUCAGUGGGGUUCGGAAUGGUAAGUCCCGCCGAGAUAUCCCAUUGAACCGGGAUAGGAAAGAUAAUUUACACAGAAAGUACUAAUAAAUCAUCCUCGUAGUUCUAAGUACAAGUAUCCAGGUAAGUGAAUACAGGAUAAUGCACCUAUGUAAAAGUGUUCCUGUAUGGUAUUCAUGUAUGUGUGUCCAUGUAACAGGUAAGUAUAUGUAAACAUAUUCAUGUAUCAGGUAAACAUCUGUAAGUACUCAUGUAUCAGGUAAUGUACUAGUAUAGACUCAUGAAUGAACUGACUCUUGUGUGAUUCCUUGUAAUAGGAGUAAUGUUUGAUAUCUUCAAAUUAUCCCUAUGAUAAUUUACUGUAAUAUAACUGGUUGAUCAUGUAGGUUUAUACACUCUUACUACUCAAGGGUGUGGGAAACUAAAUGAAAGAUGUAAACUAUAACAUCAAUACAUAUAUAAGAAUAUAAGUGUAUAUGCAUAGUUUAGUUCAAGAAUGUAAAAUGGUUUUGUAAGACAUCUUAUGGGUUUUGAACAAUAAUUAACAAUGACUUGAUGUCAUUUUAAUAAACAUUUCAAAAGUAAAACAUUUGGUAACAAUGUGUUUUUAAGAUGUAAAACCAUUUCAUGCAUCACAUUUUGUAGCAUGUGAAAUCUGUUAAAUGACAAACACAGUUAUAAAAUACAUAUCAAUGAUUUAAUAACAUGUUUGUUUCUACUUGUAUUCCCCCCAUUAAAGCAUUUAAAAUCAUUUAAAAUAUUGAUUAGGGGUAUGAACUCACCUGUAGUUGGUGAUUGGGAUGAACUGAACGGUAUAGGAUGGCUAGGUGUCAAGCGAGGACUUGUACACACACUACGAUCCUAAUGAACAUAUAAUCACACAUAUAUGCAUUCAAUUAGUCUUAAAUCACUAAUUGAUAAAGUUAAGACAUCCUAGACAUAAUAAACACUUUAUAUAAGUGUUUUAAGCCCUAAGGAUUGCAUCUAAGCUAUUGUGGGACAAGGUACUUGUGUUUAGGGUUCCAAAGGACCCCAUAUAUGAGUUUACUCCUCAUAUACUAACACACAUGGAGUUUACGGUUGUAAACUCUUGAGUUUACGGCCGUAAACUCCCAACCAUGGGGUAUUUGUGUGUUUUGAAGUCCCAAAUGAUUUCUAGAAUUAUUCCAACUUGGUGGUUCCAUCCUUGAAGGGGUUUAAGGCAUAGAAACACUCCAUUUAGGAGUUUACGGCCCCAAGGCCAUUUCCUUUGGAGUUUACGGCCGUAAACUCCCUUGGAAUGGUGUUUUUGUUGUUUUCAAGUCUCUUGCAUAUGAAGGAUAGGUUCUAGACUUUUACCUAAAGCAUAUGAAGGCAAUAGGCACACUUUGGUGCCCCUUUAAUGAGUUUACGGCCCAUGAACCAUGUCAUGGCCGUAAACUCACUUUUCAAGGUGAUUCUUAUGUGUUUAAGGCCCUUGAUUUAUUGGGAACAAGUCUAGGUAAAAGUCCAAGGUUUUAGGUACCUUAAAAGCACCAUUUGGUGCUUAAAUUUGGAGUUUACGGCCUAAGAAACUCUUGGGCCAUGAACUCCCAAAAUUGGGUGGUUCUUGCUUGAUUUCAUGUCCCUAACACACUCCUAUACAAGUACAAGGCAGUUGUAUAUCACGGGGGAUAGUCUAGGCUUCGUUUCGGGAGUUUACCGCCCAAGAACACCUUGGGGAGUAAACUCCUAAAUCUAGUGAUUUAGCCUUCUAAAUCAUGUUAUAACUACAUAUAAAGCUUUCUAACACUACUAGAAAGAGUUACUCACGUUUUGGUAUAAAAACCCGAAGAUCCGUGAGAGAGAAAAUGGCUUUUCUCUAGAUGGAAAUGUGAAUAAUGAAUGAAUUUCGUUCAGAAUUCUAUUUAUAGUCCUGAGAUAUUUUUGGCAGAAAAUAUUUUUAUUCCUGAAAUGAUCUCUAAUAUAAUAGAGUGUUGGAAUAACAGUGUUGCACAAAACCCUAGUGCACCCACUCUCCUGAUAUUUCCUGAAGUGUAAACCCUGAAUUACUCAAACUUACACUAAAAAGUCAGAAAAUUAAAUGUGACUGCUAUAACUUCUAUUGAAGUGAUAUAGUUUGUACAAAAUGGAAAUUUCGGGUUGUCACACCCAGCCCAUAGCAUUAGCCACUAUAAGAGAUAGUGACUUAACAUGGCCGUUCCACAAUGUUAGGGCUUUAGUUUUGAAGGUGCAAGCAGCGAACUUCACCUUGCUCUCCUCGGAACAAGAGCAGAUUUCGAAAACCGAUUUGGUUUUCUCGAACCAUUGCGAGAGAGCAAUGACUCCGCCAGUCCCCUUGAAGGACAAUGGAUUGCAGUUCGUGAAGUCCUUAUAGGAGCACUCUCUUGAGCGCAAAGGAGCUUCAACCUGAACAGACUGAACAAAGGUUCCUCCUCUAGUGGAACCAGAUGAAUGAUACUGGGCCAUGGCUGUAGCCACUGCUGCAGCUAUAGCAGCAUUUAAGACUGUCGUGUCGAACUGAGGAGUAGGUGGUUGAGGAGGUGGAGGAGGUGGUGUAUCGUUAUUGAGGUUUCUCCUCGGAUUUCUGCGAGGCGGCAUCUUUGAUCUAUAGUUUAUGAAGAUGAAAACAUUCAUAAGAUUUUAAUGGAAGAAUUGAUGGGAAUGACUCAUGGACUAACUCUCCAUAGCCCAAACGAUACGAUUGAAUGGAAAUCUAGAACUAAUAGAUGAUCACAUUUGGAAAAUAAUUCCCAUAAGAUUAGGUACCUGUGAAUAUUACUGGAAUUACAGAUGUAACCAGUUCGGGAAAAACGGCCAACAGAAAAUAGGCCUUACAUCAACCAAAAUGGGAAGAUUUUGACAAAAUUACAGCCUAACCAAGACCUACCAGGCCUACGAUUUACAAGAUAGGGAAUUAGACCAGAGUUUUACAUAACUACGUUAUAUCCAAAAGAGAGAAGUUGAUGAGAAUCUAUCAGCGACGAGAACUACAAGAGUGAGUCCUUGAUCCCGACAGAAGAUGUUCUAUAUCCCUUAUAUGCCUAUCAGCCCUUGCUUGCUGAGCUCGAAGUUCUCUGACUUCAGCUCGCGUUUCAGUGAGUUCCCUCUGAAGAGCUGCAUUGUGAACCAGAUCCCUUUCAUGGGCAGACUCUAGUUGGCGAAUGCCGACAAUGUUAACACCAGUGUUGGCAUCAAUCUCCAAGACUCGAUUGAUAGAUGAUUGACCUAGUAUCAUGUUCCGAGAAAUCCUAUGAACCAUGAUGGGUAUGACUCUGUCAGCAGAACCUCCAUUAGUGAGGUUGUAGGAACUUCUGUCUCCAUUUUAGGGAAUAGGUUGACUCUGUUCAUGGCUCCAUGUAUUCAAGUUUAUUGCCUACAGAGGUAUGGGUACUAGAAAUGUUGGACGAGGGUCAGGGUUUUGAUCCGCUGGGGGCAGGUUGUUGACUUCUGGCUCUGAGCCAGAACCAUCAGAAAAGCGUUCAGCUUCAUGAUCAUCCAAAGGGAUUGGGUGAUCAUCCUCAGGUUCAUCCUCUAGCCAUCCUGCAUUGCCGUGGUUGGGAUAUUACGGGUCUCCGGGAAUGUGGAAUCCAUCCAUUAAAUCUACGCGAGAAGGGAGGUAUAAGAAUCUAGCACAUAAGUAACUUAUAGUAAUGCAAAAUACUCCUAUAGUAUUUUAAUUUUAGGUUCUGUUGUUCUCAUCGGGGUAUUGUAGGUAAGUUUUUAAACUUGUUGCAACCUCACAACCACACUAAGGCACGUGCUAGUCUACCCUCAGAUAAUAUAGUUGAUCAGGCUAUAUCUUCCCAGUUUUGACCAUAUGUAUCUAAGUCUAAUUGUGUUGCCCAACAAUCGUAAUACUUUUUGUACAGUCUUAGUGACAUUGAUUUUACAAUGAAUGCAGGCACGUAUACUUAAUUAAAUAUUUUAAUAUUUAAAGUAUAAACUCUUAGUCAGAGUAUUUUAAUCCCAAUGUAUUUAUAGUUAGUAUAUCUUUUAUGGGUUGAUAUAGUCAAUUCACUAUAAACAAUGCUUUGAUACCAAUCUGUUGCACGCCAAAACCAUGAACGGCGGAAACGUUUUGGGGCGGAGGACGUCAUCUGUAGUAUCUCAUCAAUGAAUAAUAGUAAACAAGCAACAACAUCAUCCAUUGCAUUAAUAAUAUAAUUUCAUACAUGUGUGUUCUGUCAAGUUAUAUAGACACCAAAAUAUACAUAUCAAAAUAAAAGAUGAGUCUUGAACGAACUCCAUCUGCUCAAAAGCCUGGCACAUGUACCUAUCUAUUGGUGACCUGAGAAUACAAGUUAUUUUGAAAGCGAGUAUCAGCUUAAAGCUGGUGAGAUCAGAAGAUGUUUUGUACACUGUUUUGUAUAAUGUUUGAACUCUCCUAGAAAACCCUAUGUUUCCUACUAACUGUAGCCUUCUACCAAGGCAUCUAGAGUCUAUGUGUAUGUCUCUUGUUAGAGUGUGUGUUUUCCCAAUUCUGACUAUCAUUAACCAAAAAUAUAGUAUCUACAUUACCGUGCAUCGUGUGAAUAUUCACGAAGUGAAUGUAAUGGGAAAAUAUUAUCGUACCGUAGUAUUUGUAAUAAGUGACUACCAUUGUACUAACUACCUUAAAACAAAAGGUGUUCAAUGUAACAUGUGAUCGACCUGUAUCCUACUACUGACUCUAGUAAAACGACGAUUUAAGACGCCGUAAAAAAUGACAUUUGGCACCUGUAGACUUGAAAGUCCCACUGUAGCGAGCACCAAGGUGUAGGAUAGUCAAUCCAGUAUAGAUCUAUAUGCAUAAUCAUACGCUCCCCAAUUAAGGAGAUUCGGGAUACAAAAACGGUCAUGGCAGGAAGUGCCAUGACCCGCUUAAUGGUUCACAUAAUUGCAUGAAUGUAUAUGUAAUAAAUGUCCUAACUGAAAGUGUACUCUUUCUCUGUCUUGCCUAUAUGUACUGAAAUGUUCUGCGUGUGCUAGCUGUAAUGUAUGUUCUCUCUCUAUCUAGCAUGUAUAGUAAUGUACUGAAUCAUGAAUGAACUGACUCAUUGUAUGUUUCAUUGUUCUAGUAAUAGUAUUAGUAUCCUCCUGUGCUACCCCUAUGGAAACUUACUAGUGAUGUAACUGGUACGUAUUAACAUGGAAGUAUACCCUUGCUACCCAAGGGUAUUAAAUUGACUGGAAAAACCUUUAAUACUAUUUAUGUACACAUGAUAUAUAACUAAUAUUUAAACGACCUUCGAACGGAUACCCGAUACCCCACCAGACCACAUCCUAACGGAGAAAAGGAAAUAAGGCGGGCUGGCCUUCCUAAGCCUUUUAAACAUUGCAUAUAUAACUAUACAUACAUAGGCAUGCAUCUGAUAAUAAGUAUAACAGAGCUUAAGUAAAUGUAUUUGAUAAGUAAGAUAGCUUGUAAAACAGUUUGAAGCAAAACAGUUUGAUAAACAGUUUGAACAGUAAGAAAAACUACUAGAUUUGUAGUUAUUAAUCACAUGUGAUUGAUAUAAUAACUAUAAGUAUUCAACUUGUAUUCCCCCCCCCCCCUAAAAANCCCCCCCAUUAAAGCAUUUAAAAACAUUCAAACCAUUGAUUAAGGGGUAUGAACUCACCUGUAGUGAGUGGUACGGAUGAACUGAAGAUGUAGGAUUGCUAGGUGUCAAGUGAAGUCUUGAACACACUCUAUGAUCCUAGUUAACAUUUAAUACAACAUAUAUGUAUCCAAUUAGUCUUAAACUACUAAUUGAAAAUGUUAAGACAUCCUAGAACAUGAUAAACCCUUUAUAUAAGUGUUAUAAGCCUUCAAGAUUGCAUCUAAGUUGCUGUAGGACAAGGCUAGUGGGUUUAGGGUUCCAAAGGACCCCAUUCUUGAGUUUAGUCUCCAAUACCAUAACAACAAGGAGUUUAUGGUCGUAAACCCUUGAUUUUACGCCUGUAAGCUCCUAAGCCUUAGUUUAUUUGGUGUUUUGAAGUCUUAUAUGUCGCUUAGAAGUAUUGCUACUUGAUGGCUUAGUCCG
rnacentral:lncRNA from 1 species